CUGAAGAGAAGAUUUCCUCGAUACUUUUUCUGGGGUGGCGACUUCUCCUCAGGAGAAGGCCUCUCAUGAAUUCUUCUAGUCCUUUCCAUGCCACUCAUGAAGUUUGGAAGUCUGCUUCCCCUUAGUUUGCACCAGGAAAUGAAAUCCAGAAAUCGUGACCUAGGACGACCCUCUAAGUCCCAACAGAAUAUUUGCAUUAGCCAACUGCCACCUGGAGGUCCCGAAAAGGCAAAUGAAUGUGUGCCAGGCUGCCCUGGAGAGUCAGAUGCAAGAUGCCAGCCUUCUCACCCAGCUCCCUCCAGCACCUUCCAGAAAGCCGAGCGUCCAGGAAGUGAGCUCACUGGUGUUGCCUUCUGUUGCCAUGGGAACAAACCCCACGCUGCCUAUAAAAACCACUUGCUCACACCGUCGGUUUUUAAAUUUUUUAUCAUCGUUUUAGGCCUGUCUCCAAGAACAGUAUUAGCCACCUCACGGAGUGUGGUGUGAGGACCUGAGAGAAGAGACCCUUUGAAAACUGCCGGCGAAGGAAAUGACGGCGCGUGCCAAGGCUGGGAGGCUAUUUCUGGGGUCCAGCAGCCGGUUAACUAAUUGCAGAGACACCCACGGAGAAAGGGAGAAGGAUUUGGUCCCAGAACCACCUAGAGUUUAGAUCGGUGCUCAGCAUACGCCAUCAACACCCAGAGCUGACGGAAGAAUGGGAGAAUUUGAUGAAGCUGCUUUAAACGUCUUUUGACGCUGUUGUGUGC